rnacentral:tRNA from 2 species
GCGGGAGUGGCGGAAUUGGUAGACGCACCAGAUUUAGGUUCUGGCGCCGCAAGGUGUGAGAGUUCAAGUCUCUCCUUCCGCACCA